rnacentral:rRNA from 1 species
AUUGAACGCUGGCGGCAUGCCUUACACAUGCAAGUCAAACGGUAACAGGUUAAGCUGACGAGUGGCGAACGGGUGAGUAAUGUAUCGGAACGUGCCCAGUCGUGGGGGAUAACUACUCGAAAGAGUGGCUAAUACCGCAUACGACCUGAGGGUGAAAGCGGGGGACCGUAAGGCCUCGCGCGAUUGGAGCGGCCGAUAUCCGAUUAGCUAGUUGGUGGGGUAAAAGCCCACCAAGGCGACGAUCUGUAGCUGGUCUGAGAGGACGACCAGCCACACUGGGACUGAGACACGGCCCAGACUCCUACGGGAGGCAGCAGUGGGGAAUUUUGGACAAUGGACGCAAGUCUGAUCCAGCCAUGCCGCGUGCGGGAAGAAGGCCUUCGGGUUGUAACCCGCUUUUGUCAGGGAAGAAACGAGUUUCUCUAAUACAGAGACUUAAUGACGGUACCUGAAGAAUAAGCACCGGCUAACUACGUGCCAGCAGCCGCCGUAAUAC